UACGUAGGGGGCAAGCGUUGUCCGGAAUCAUUGGGCGUAAAGAGCGUGUAGGCGGCUCGGUAAGUCCGCUCUGAAAGCCCGGGGCUCAACCCCGGGAGGCGGGCGGAUACUGUCGGGCUAGAGUCCGGAAGAGGCGAGUGGAAUUCCUGGUGUAGCGGUGAAAUGCGUAGAUAUCGGGAGGAACACCAGUGGCGAAGGCGGCGAUCUGGGAAGAUACUGACGCUGAGGUGCGAAAGCGUGGGGAGCAAACAGG
rnacentral:rRNA from 1 species